rnacentral:misc_RNA from 1 species
UUUCCGUAGGUGAACCUGCGGAAGGAUCAUUAAUGAAAUCAUAUUCUCCUUUGGAGUUUCUUCUAGCUGAUGCGCCGUUGGCUGCACGCUGUUGUGACUCUUUGGGGGUUAUAUUUCCACAAACCCUUCUGUGCAUAUUGGGAGGCUUCAUUGUCCUCUCCUAACUUUAUAUACUCUAAUGUUUAAUCAUGUCAUAUAAAUGUUAAAUACAUUAAACAACUUUCAACAACGGAUCUCUUGGCUCUCGCAUCGAUGAAGAACGCAGC